rnacentral:rRNA from 1 species
AUUGAACGCUGGCGGCAUGCCUUACACAUGCAAGUCGAACGGUAACAGGUCUUCGGAUGCUGACGAGUGGCGAACGGGUGAGUAAUACAUCGGAACGUGCCUAGUAGUGGGGGAUAACUACUCGAAAGAGUGGCUAAUACCGCAUGAGAUCUACGGAUGAAAGCAGGGGAUCGCAAGACCUUGCGCUACUAGAGCGGCCGAUGGCAGAUUAGGUAGUUGGUGGGAUAAAAGCUUACCAAGCCGACGAUCUGUAGCUGGUCUGAGAGGACGAUCAGCCACACUGGGACUGAGACACGGCCCAGACUCCUACGGGAGGCAGCAGUGGGGAAUUUUGGACAAUGGGCGAAAGCCUGAUCCAGCAAUGCCGCGUGCAGGAUGAAGGCCUUCGGGUUGUAAACUGCUUUUGUGCGGAACGAAAAGCCCCGGGUUAAUACCCCGGGGUCAUGACGGUACCGUAAGAAUAAGCACCGGCUAACUACGUGCCAGCCGCCGCCGUAA